rnacentral:rRNA from 1 species
CAGGCCUAACACAUGCAAGUCGAACGAUGAAGCCCAGCUUGCUGGGUGGAUUAGUGGCGAACGGGUGAGUAACACGUGAGUAACCUGCCCUUAACUCUGGGAUAAGCCUGGGAAACUGGGUCUAAUACCGGAUAGGAGCGCCUACCGCAUGGUGGGUGUUGGAAAGAUUUAUCGGUUUUGGAUGGACUCGCGGCCUAUCAGCUUGUUGGUGAGGUAAUGGCUCACCAAGGCGACGACGGGUAGCCGGCCUGAGAGGGUGACCGGCCACACUGGGACUGAGACACGGCCCAGACUCCUACGGGAGGCAGCAGUGGGGAAUAUUGCACAAUGGGCGCAAGCCUGAUGCAGCGACGCCGCGUGAGGGAUGACGGCCUUCGGGUUGUAAACCUCUUUCAGUAGGGAAGAAGCGAAAGUGACGGUACCUGCAGAAGAAGCACCGGCUAACUACGUGCCAGCAGCCGCGGUAAUACGUAGGGUGCGAGCGUUAUCCGGAAUUAUUGGGCGUAAAGAGCUCGUAGGCGGUUUGUCGCGUCUGUCGUGAAAGUCCGGGGCUUAACCCCGGAUCUGCGGUGGGUACGGGCAGACUAGAGUGCAGUAGGGGAGACUGGAAUUCCUGGUGUAGCGGUGGAAUGCGCAGAUAUCAGGAGGA